GAUUCGCGUGGGCGGAGAGGGAGUCCACACCACGCCUGGAACCAACGCCGCCGGCUGGAAAAGCAGUGGCUCGCAUGCCUCUGAGGCCCGGUGGAAUCGAAUAUGGCAUCACAUCUGCCUCCGUACCUGAGCGCUCCCCCAGCCUGCAGUUCUCAUCCAAGAUCCCUGAUCUCAAGAUUUCCCCCAAAGCUAUAGCUUCUGUUGAGGAGGAAGAUGAACCCAUCAACAAGAUCAUUUCAAACGUUACAUGAGAUACAAUUCUUGGUAUGGACUCUGGAUCUGCUCUCCAUCCGCUAGUUAAUGCAGAUGCAGCAGGGCAGUUGGACAGCCAUAAGACUCCUCGUAGUUUUCGCCCGUUGAGUAAUAUUUGUCUCGGGUAGCUUCUUUAAAGGUCUCCAGACCAAGGAUUUCCUGCCCCUGUCGCUGGAGUCUCCUUCAUGUAUAUGGCGGCGAUGCUCUCUUCAUUUUUUCGGAUGCAAGGGGUGUUCCCUGGGAUUUCACUUCAAAA